AUGAUCGAUGUAUUUGUUUGCGAUCGUGCGUUUGCUCCAAUUUGCAGACAUUUGAUGCUUGGCGAGUUCAACUGCACGGGGCCAGGGGCCGAGGCGUCGCAGCGCGUGCCGUGGUCGCGGCGGUUAGACCAGGCCGAGGCGGCCAAGUUCCUCACCGUCGACUUCAUCAACGGCAAGGAGUGGCUCCCGGCGUUCUACUACUGA
rnacentral:rRNA from 1 species